GUUGUCAUUGUAGCUGCUGUCUUAUAUAUGUUAAAAUAUAGUUUUAGUUGUUAUCCUAAAUUUAUUCAGUCUACACGUAAAUUGGCUGUCCGAUAAAAGUUGUCCGUCCAGAAAGUCAUGUCAAUGUUUGGGACUUAAAGAUCCGUGCAGCAUUAUGUUUAAUGUUUAGUCCUGACUACACUGGGCCCGACCCACCCGUCUACAAUGUCUGCUAAUGAUGCUGUAGUAUUCAAAAUUCGUCAAUAUAUUUGCCAUAAUCUUCUGAUGGGAUAGUGUUUCGCUUAGCUGUGAUUAAAUGUCUAAAAAGAA